AAAUCCUGAGUCAUUUAUUUCUCAUGCAUUACCAGAGUAGCUUAUUGCUAGCACCAAAUUCCUAUCUCACAUUUGAGUUGGGUAACAUUUAUAAUAGGCCACAAUACAGAAUUUACACAAAGAGCAGAUCAACUCUGAAACAGUAGAAAAAAACAAAAUAAGUAUAAAGAUUAAUCCAUAUGUAACUGGGCAAACACAACAAUUCUACUCUAUUACUCAUGAAUUACCCUUACUAUUAGGGAUGAUUUCUUUAAAGUAUAUUCUACAAAUCAUUAAAGGUAUGGAAGAGAAUUUAUUUCACUUUGUGAGGCUUUAUUUUCA
rnacentral:lncRNA from 1 species